UUAAUUUGCUCUAGUCUUAUUCCCCUUUCCCAGCUCCAAGGCAGCCUUGAAAAAUUUAGCUUUGCAACCAUGGUUGUUGUGAAAAUUAAGAAUUUAGUAACCACUGGAAGGGGAAGAAUAGGUUUGGAGCCCUUCACAAAGUCACAGUUCCAGAGAACUGUCAUUAUGUGACUAGUCUGAUAUCUCCUUUGGAAAGCUCCAUUCUCAGGUCUUGGUUUUAUUUGACCUGACUCAGCUCACUCUACAAAAACGGUGCAUUUGCCAAAAUAAUGUGUGGCAAUUCUGUAACAUUGCAUCAUCCUGAGAUAAUAAUGCAAGAGUACUGGAGUGGGGUGCCAUUAUACACACACUACUAUAUAUAAAAUAGGUAACAAACAAGGGUCUACUGUUUAGCACAGGGAACUCUACUCAAUAUUCUGUAAUAACCUAUAUGGGAAAAGAAUCUGAUAAAGAAUGAGUAUAUGUAUAUGUAUAACUGAAUAACUUUGCUGUACACCUGAAACAAACACAACACUGUAAAUCAACUGUACCUAAUAAAAUUAUUUUUUAAAUGUCUUCAGACAUAGCCAAAUAUCCCCUAGGAGCAAAAUAGUCCCCAGUUGAGAAUUGCUGUUUUAGUUAAACCAGUACAGUUACAUUUGAUGCUUGUUUCAUUUUUAGCCAAAACUUACAUAUCAUUAUAAUUAAUAUAUCACUGCAACUUUUAUUUCUAUUUCCACGAGAAGAAAUAUAUAGUCUAUGUAUUAUCACCUCUUUCCAACAUAGCUGUGGAGUUGUUGUUGCCAUUUGACUGGUGAGCGGUCUGGUUCCAAAACUCUAUCCUGAGGGCUGCUUUCUGGGACCACUCUUGGUACCGACAGGCCUCAGUGUGGGUUCCUUAUCUCAUGGGAGUACUUUGUUGGCAAGUGUGAGUCCAAGGACCAGGAGUGAAGGACGAGAGUUGUAGAACAGGGCGGGAAGGAGAGCUAUUGCAUUAUCAAACUGGCCACUGCCAAAGGCAUUUGGUUGUUUGAUUCUGCAAGCCAGUUUGAAAACUGUAUGAAAUAUCUGAGGAGAGUCCAUCUGAGAGGAAAAAGAGAAACAUGUACUCAGUUACUAAUUCCAUUGGUCUGAGAUUUGUCCCAUGAGGCGUAGACCGCUCCCCACUUAUGCACUUCCAGGCUGCACUAUCCCAGUGCUGAACCAUUCCCACAGUCCCAUGACCCCAUGACACGAGCCUUGAUGCUGGAAGUGACAAGCCUGUGAUACGGACUUGAGGUGAUGCCCACUUAGGUUAUACCUGCUGAAGCUGGAAUAAGGCCUGUGGUGGUGAAAUUAGCAGCAGGUGCAGCCAAGAGGGUUGGACAUGGGGCAUAAGAGGUGUUUGAAACACUUGCACAUAUGAAUUUGUGUGUCGUAAUGCGUUCCUGGUACCUAUUCAACCAAAGUAACCUACACAUACAUACAUGACCUCAGUUUUCUCUUUAGAAAAUGAGGAUAGUCUCCUUGAGCUUGCUGGAUUGUUCAGAGAAUUAAAGAGCUGCAUGUAUAAAGCCUGAUCACAAGGUUAGUCCAGUAAAUACACUGUGUGUGUGUGUGUGUAUAAUUAUUUCAUUAGUCAGAAUCUUCCUGACCCAGGGAUCGAACCUGUGUCUCUCAUGUCUCCUGCAUUGGCAGGCACGUUCUUUACAACGAGUGACACCUGAGAAGCCCAUUAGUUAGAUGUAAGUCAUUCUAAUGGAUUGUGAAGGCCCAGUGUAGUGAGGCCAAAGUCACAGCUUCCACCUUGUGUGGGCAGUGAUGUUGGCUUAUGCUGCUAAGACAGUCAGAACUCGAUCACUCUACAAUUAACCUUUGGUGAGCAAAUAUCGUGUCCCUGGUUUUGGGCUUCCCUGAGGACCCAGAGACCAGAAUCAUUCCUGAUCCUUCCCUGCAAAUCACUCACAGGCCAGCAAAGAUGGGCAAAUAAUAGCAACUGCUGCGGUUUAGGCAAAUACAGGGCACUAUGACUGCAGCCAUGAAAUUAAAAGACGCUUACUCCUUGGAAGGAAAGUUAUGACCAACCUAGAUAGCAUAUUCAAAAGCAGAGACAUUACUUUGCUAACAAAGGUCCGUCUAGUCAAGGCUAUGGUUUUUCCUGUGGUCAUGUAUGGAUGUGAGAGUUGGACUGUGAAGAAGGCUGAGCGCCGAAGAAUUGAUGCUUUUGAACUGUGGUGUUGGAGAAGACUCUUGAGAGUCCCUUGGACUGCAAGGAGAUCCAACCAGUCCAUUCUGAAGGAGAUCUGCCCUGGGAUUUCUUUGGAAGGAAUGAUGCUAAGGCUGAAACUCCAGUACUUUGGCCACCUCAGGUGAAGAAUUGACUCAUUGGAA
ensembl:lncRNA